GGCAAAGCAAACGGUGUGCACGGCUACAUGAUAUAGUGUUAGUAUAGUGAUAGAAAUGGAUCUGGAUCCCUUUUUUUUAUAUGGUAUUUAUUUUAUGUUGUUUAAAAAAUGAGUUCAGACAUUGAAUUGAGUUGUGUGUUUUCAUCCGGAGGCCCCUGCACUGUCCUGGAAGUUGACUGGUGACCACGGGUGGAAAACCAACAGUGUGUUGUCACCCCAACUCAGACACCACCUCCAGACUCAAGCUCAAGGAGAAAAUGGAAAUAGCCAACAUCGAACCGACGCAGUCAAUACCACUCUCCAGAAAAGGGCUGAGAGGGACGCUCUCCGCCGCAGAGCAAGAAUGAUGGAGGGAGGAGUGGGCGAUAGCCGGAGUAUGUCAGGUUUCAUCUACCCUCCGUGACACGCAGCGCUCUGACAGGUUUAAACACAAGUUGGGUUUCCAGGAAGUCUUCUCUGGCACAACUGGACUUCUAAGCAGCAGCAGCUUUACAGAGUUGACGUGUGCCGGCGAUGGGGAGCGGUGGCGCAUCCUGAUCCAUUUACAUGUCAACCAACGAUGGCGCACAUCACGAUGCAGUCCGAGGCAGCUCCAGGGAAGCGGUGACGUGGGAGCUCCCUGCUCCGAGACCGGAGAGCGAGAGAGAAAGAGGCAUGAAAAGAAAGCCUGGCAGAGAGCGAGGGCGAGGUGAGAGAGAAAAGACAGAGCUGCGACUGUGAGAGGGAGAAGGAGCAGGAGAGAAGAAAGAUAAAGAUCCUCCCUCUCCCAGCUCUCGUUGACAAUGACACCGGGAGAGUCAUUUCGAAGCAAUGAGCCAGAAAACGCAGAUCCGCCGCUGCCAUUCAUCCUCCUAAGCACGACACUCAGUCACCACCACGCCACAAUCGCAUUCAUCUCUGAGAGAAUGGCGCUGGCUUAAUAAAAUGUGUGGCAGAACGUUCGUAUUAUAAAAACAGCCCAUUUGAGUCCAGUCAGUCACAUUGAUAGAAAAGUGGACUGAGACCGUGCAGUGCAGCUCUCUCUCUGAUUUUUACUGAAAUGUAUUGAAUUUGUGCAUUUGUAAGAAUGUUUUUGGCCAUACCAUUUAAUGAAAAAGAUGGCGAAUAAAAUGUGUUGAGCUAGUUCGAUUGAUUUAUCAUCACAUAGCCAAGACUGAAUUGGCUUAUAAUAGACAACAAAAACAAAGCACAGCAUCAGAAAGAAGACACUUUAAACAAUAUAAUAUUUAACAGCAAUGUCAUUAUGAUGAAGGAUCCAGGGGACGCUUUAAUAGC